AUGCAGCACCAGCGAAAGCAACGACAGUAGCACCGAGGACAUGACUGAACGAGGGCGUGGUCGAGGGCGCAUCCGCGUUCCCAAUGCGGGAUCCGUACGACGUUCACUUGUACCUGUGUGCGCUGACGGCUGCUGUGGUACCGCUGGCGGGUACACCACUGAAUAAGCUCUGGUGUGCAGCCUCGGUAUUACGGGGGUUUAAGAAAUGUGCUAUUUUUGGUGCAAGCUUUAGACACAGAAGGCACUCGAAAAUAAACGGGCUGGGCGAACAAUCCGUGCUUUCGGUGUCCUGCGUCGUUCAGGCUGUGUCUGAUCCACCGUGAGGUGCCCUAGACCAGAACGCACGCUUCGCUGCUCUCUCUACACCUGCUUGGUCUUUCGUCGAGCGUCGACCAGACCCAGCGCUGCGAGUGCGACUUGCAUUCGACACGGUAUCGCGAGCGAGUGCAGGACACAGAUGCGGCACGCCGUACCAGGCGAUGGCGGCUGGCAGGGCUCCAGCACCUCAAGGUGCACUCUCUCUAACUACGCGCCACCUGUUGAAGCGAACCCCGGACGAUAAUACGCGUAGGCAGCGUGGUCGUCACUGUGGAUUCGUCGCAACCAGGUAGCGUUGGCGAUGUAUGCCCAGGACGCACGUCAGGUCCCAAUGUUGCUCGUCAUUCCGUUUAGAGAGCCUAUACGCCUGCGCCCUAGUCGGCGGACUUGACGAGCGCCCCAAAACCCUAGCUGUGUGACGGCGAUAUCCAGUUAGGUGCCUCUGCGACGCGGGACAGAGGCAAUCUCCGAAUAAAGCUGCCUAGAAUUUGGAGAUAUCUCUUCCGAGCACUCGAGUUUUCACAAAGUCUAUCAUCACUAGGAACCGCGAUCGCCAGCUAAACAAAUGCAAUAGCGAGUAGCCAUACCAAAGCCAGAACGCAACAUUGCCAUACAGCGGGUCCAUAAAGGGAAAUUGCAAGACC